CCAAGGGGAGCCAUCUGGCUGAGAUUUGAGUAAACACUCAUAACCCUUAUACCUGAUCCGGAUAAUGCCGGCGUAGGAAUGGUCAGACUU
rnacentral:ncRNA from 1 species